GACGAACGCUGGCGGCGUGCCUAAUACAUGCAAGUCGAGCGGACGAAUCGAAAGCUUGCUUUUGAUUCGUUAGCGGCGGACGGGUGAGUAACACGUGGGCAACCUGCCCUGUAGACGGGGAUAACACCGAGAAAUCGGUGCUAAUACCGGAUAACACGAAAUGUCGCAUGACGUUUCGUCGAAAGACGGCGCAAGCUGUCGCUACAGGAUGGGCCCGCGGCGCAUUAGCUAGUUGGUGAGGUAACGGCUCACCAAGGCGACGAUGCGUAGCCGACCUGAGAGGGUGAUCGGCCACACUGGGACUGAGACACGGCCCAGACUCCUACGGGAGGCAGCAGUAGGGAAUCUUCCGCAAUGGACGAAAGUCUGACGGAGCAACGCCGCGUGAGCGAAGAAGGCCUUCGGGUCGUAAAGCUCUGUUGUUAGGGAAGAACAAGUAACGCAGUAACUGGCGUUACCGUGACGGUACCUAACGAGAAGGCCACGGCUAACUACGUG
rnacentral:rRNA from 1 species